rnacentral:rRNA from 1 species
UACGUAGGGCGCAAGCGUUAUCCGGAAUUACUGGGCGUAAAGCGUGCGCAGGCGGUCUGUUAAGACCGAUGUGAAAUCCCCGGGCUUAACCUGGGAACUGCAUUGGUGACUGGCAGGCUUUGAGUGUGGCAGAGGGAGGUAGAAUUCCACGUGUAGCAGUGAAAUGCGUAGAGAUGUGGAGGAAUACCGAUGGCGAAGGCAGCCUCCUGGGCCAACACUGACGCUCAUGCACGAAAGCGUGGGGAGCAAACAGG